UCAUUCCAAAUUGUUAUAUUCUUUUGAAGGUUUUUUCAUUUCCAGUCACAAUUACUAUAUCAUCGGCCAAGGCGCAUGUUUGGCGCAUAUAGUUUGUGAGCUAUUUCAUUACAUAUUUUAUUAGGGGAAUGGGGGGCAUGACGGGGUCGCGAGGUAAGACGGGGUACCGCACACAAACAAGAAACUACACGUUGGUGAACAGCAUACAAUAACUCAAUAGGAAGGUCAUUCGACUAACGAUCACUGCAAGAGAAACCGUGAAUGAGAGUGCACGCGUUUUUUGUUUACAAACGGAAAACUGUUUUAUCGCUCCGUUGAUCUAAUUUUGUGCAAGGACAACCAUCGUUAUUUUAAGAUAAUACCAUAGUACGUACUUACAAGAAAAAAACAAAAAGAGGAGAGUGGUCGAGAGAUGCUAUGAAAACAGCCAUAGAUAAAGUGACAUCGUCAGAACCCUGGGUAGGCUGCCAGAUCUGUGGAUGUUGAGCUCACAAUGCUUGUGCUAGGGUGGACAAUGAAGAUCUGGAGCAAAUACACAUUUUUGUUUGUUUUGUGAGAAUUAAUUAGCAUCACCAUCAUGCCCCAAUUCCAAUACCCCAUCAUACCCCACAGUAUGGGGCAAGAUGGUUUUUCAUAAGGUUCUUAUUAAUGGCUAAUUUUUCAAAAA
rnacentral:lncRNA from 1 species